rnacentral:rRNA from 1 species
AGAACGAACGCUGGCGGCAUGCCUAACACAUGCAAGUCGAACGAGACCUUCGGGUCUAGUGGCGCACGGGUGCGUAACGCGUGGGAAUCUGCCCUUGGGUUCGGAAUAACAGCGAGAAAUUGCUGCUAAUACCGGAUGAUGACGUAAGUCCAAAGAUUUAUCGCCCAAGGAUGAGCCCGCGUAGGAUUAGCUUGUUGGUGAGGUAAGAGCUCACCAAGGCACGAUCCUUAGCUGGUCUGAGAGGAUGAUCAGCCGCACUGGGACUGAGACACGGCCCAGACUCCGUACGGGAGCAGCGAGUAGGGGAAUAGUUGGACAAGUGGGACGAAAGCCUAGAUCCAGCAAUGCGCGUGAGUGA